UACGGAGGAUCCGAGCGUUAUCCGGAUUUAUUGGGUUUAAAGGGUGCGUAGGCGGAAAUGUAAGUCAGUGGUGAAAUCCUGCAGCUUAACUGUAGAAUAGCCGUUGAAACUGUGUUUCUUGAGUACAUUUGAGGUAGGCGGAAUGUGGUGUGUAGCGAUGAAAUGCAUAGAUAUACAACAGAACACCGAUUGCGAAGGCAGCUUACUAAACUGUCACUGACGCUGAUGCACGAAAGCGUGGGUAUCAAACAGGAUUA
rnacentral:rRNA from 1 species